rnacentral:rRNA from 1 species
AUUGAACGCUGGCGGCAUGCUUUACACAUGCAAGUCGAACGGUAACAGGCCGCAAGGUGCUGACGAGUGGCGAACGGGUGAGUAAUGCAUCGGAACGUGCCCAGUCGUGGGGGAUAACGCAGCGAAAGCUGCGCUAAUACCGCAUACGAUCUAUGGAUGAAAGCGGGGGACCGUAAGGCCUCGCGCGAUUGGAGCGGCCGAUGUCAGAUUAGGUAGUUGGUGGGGUAAAGGCUCACCAAGCCAACGAUCUGUAGCUGGUCUGAGAGGACGACCAGCCGCACUGGGACUGAGAAACGGCCCAGACUCCUACGGGGGGCAGAAGUGGGGAAUUUUGGACAAUGGGCGCAAGCCUGAUCCAGCAAUGCCGCGUGCAGGAAGAAGGCCUUUGGGUUGUAAACUGCUUUUGUACGGAACGAAAAGGUUUGGGUUAAUACCCUGGGCCGAUGACGGUACCGUAAGAAUAAGCACCGGCUAACUACGUGCCAGCCGCCGCGGUAAUAC